rnacentral:snoRNA from 10 species
UUGUCCUGGCCUAGGCCAUUUCUGCUCCCCCGCGCUCAGUCCUAGCAGAGUAGUCUGGCAGGACGCACAGCAAUCUCCCUCUCAGUUUAGGAGGGCCGUCUCCUAAGAAUAGGGCUGGCAGGAAAGGACAAU